CAGAUGGGUCACAGCACCCUGAAUGUGCCCGGUCUCAUCUGAUCUUAGAAGCUAAGCAGGGUCAGGCCUGGUUAGUACUUGGAUGGGAGAACUAGCAAAAUGAGCCAGGAGUAAUCUGC
rnacentral:rRNA from 1 species